CAUCACAUGACUCGUGUCAGUGCUGCAGAAUACAUUGAAGUCUAUGAAGUGAGUGAUAUUUAUACGAGUAAAGGGUCAUCACAUGACUCGUGUCAGCGCUGCAGAAUACAUUGAAGUCUAUGAAGCGAGUGAUAUUUAUACGUGUAAAGGGGUCAUCACAUGACUCGCGUCAGCGCUGCAGAAUACAUUGAAGUCUAUGAAGUGAGUGAUAUUUAUACGCGUAAAGGGUCAUCACAUGACUCGCGUCAGCGCUGCAGAAUACAUUGAAGUCUAUGAAGCGAGUGAUAUUUAUACGUGUAA